rnacentral:rRNA from 1 species
UACGUAGGGUGCGAGCGUUAAUCGGAAUUACUGGGCGUAAAGCGUGCGCAGGCGGUUUUGUAAGCCAGAUGUGAAAUCCCCGGGCUUAACCUGGGAAUGGCAUUUGGGACUGCAAGGCUGGAGUGCGGCAGAGGAGACUGGAAUUCCUGGUGUAGCAGUGAAAUGCGUAGAUAUCAGGAGGAACAUCCAUGGCGAAGGCAGCCCCUUGGACCUGUACUGACGCUCAUGCACGAAAGCGUGGGGAGCAAACAGG